UGUUUAAAACAAAAUUCAAAUUCCCAAGACGAACCAAGAGGUCCAACUUUUCCUCAGAUAUACAAUUCCUGGGAAGAGUGAGGAGCUCGGGCAAGGUUGCUGUCACCAUCUGGACCCCAAAGGAUCUGGCGAGUGGAGCACACGGGGAGCGCUGGUCUUUCUGGCAGCCCAUCAGCCCUGGCGUGCAGAUAAAAAGACAUGAAAAGGAGUCAGAUUGUAUAAUUGUCGCUCGGCGCUGUAACUAGCAGAGGAGUGGACCCACGUUACUUCUGUAAGCAAGAUAGAGGAGGCACUUGGUAGCAGAAAGCAUCAAUCCAGUGUUGAAAGAAGUCCUUUGCCGUGGGCAAAGAAACAAGGUGAAGUUGGCCACAUGCUAUAUAACAUUUAUAAUGUUAAUAACAAAAACUGUCGACGCGAUUAAAUCUGUU
rnacentral:lncRNA from 1 species